rnacentral:snRNA from 1 species
UGAGCUCAACGAGAACAG